rnacentral:lncRNA from 1 species
GCGCUCGGCCUGGGGCGGCGGCGCGGCGGGGGCGGUAGGGGCGGCCGUGAGGGGGGGGAGGCGGGGGCGGCGGGGGCAGAGGAGGAGGAGGAGGAGCGGGGGAGGACCGACGGGAGGAGGGCCCGCCGCUGGCCAACUCUGCCGGCUGGCGAGGCCACCCUGGGCUGGCUCUGGCCCCGCCGGCUGCAGGAGCGCGUCGCGGGGCCGCCCGCCUAUUCCAUGGUCCGCGCACUAGGGACCGGGGCUGGGGCUGGGGCCUGGCCGGAGCGCGCAGGGAGCAUCGAGGGAGCUAGAAGCAUGAGCUAGUGCAGCUCCCCGCAGCCUGCAGCAGAGAGGAUGGUCCGGCCAGGGUCGGCGGCAGAGGGUCGCGCGGGCGGGGGCAAUGCCUGGGACACAGGCCGGCCCUGGCAGGCACGGCGGGGAGGGGGCCCGCGGGGAGGAGACUGGGCUGGGGAGGGAGCCCUGUGUGCAGUCCUUCAACUCUUCCGUGCCAGGGGAAGGGGGACGGAGCAGGGGGGCCCCCUCUCGGGAAGCACACACGCUGCCUCCCAGAGGCCGGUCUUCUUCAGGAAGGAUUCGCUGGAAACUUUCGGAAAAACCGAGGGGUUCUUCAGUACCUCUCUAUUUGCUGCCUGGAGUCAGCGCGCCGCGAGUGCUCUUGGCUGCCGGCGCCUAGCCGCUGGCCUCGCCUCCUCUCGCGGGCCUCCAGGGUUUCCCUCUGCCCCCUUGCGGGGAUCCCCCUGUGCGCCCUGUUCGCGAUUUGGAAUAGGCCUCCCCACAAGCUAUUGGUUCCGCAAGGGUGUCCGGGCUCCCCCCUCUGGCCUGGGUUCACACUUCGCUUUCUGUUCCUGCUGGACCAAGCCCAACACUGUGGCUGAUGGAAGUGGGGACAGCUGGCACUGUCCCUGGAGAAGCGGUCUGAAGAGGCUCCUGGACUUCUGCAGGUCCGUGCAGAGGAUUUGGACCUGA